rnacentral:tRNA from 1 species
CAGAGAAUAGUUUAAUAUAAAAUAUUAAUUUUGGGAAUUAAAGAUAGAGGUUUUCUUUUUCUCUGA